rnacentral:tRNA from 1 species
CGCGGGGUGGAGCAGCCUGGUAGCUCGUCGGGCUCAAUAACCCGAAGGUCGUCAGGUUCAAAUCCGGCCCCCGCAACCA